UACAGAGGUCCCGAGCGUUGUUCGGAUUUAUUGGGCGUAAAGGGCGUGUAGGCGGUCCGGUAAGUCCGCUGUGAAAGUCGGGGGCUCAACCCUCGAAUGCCGGUGGAUACUGUCGGGCUAGAGUGCGGAAGAGGCGAGUGGAAUUCCUGGUGUAGCGGUGAAAUGCGCAGAUAUCAGGAGGAACACCAAUUGCGAAGGCAGCUCGCUGGGACGUAACUGACGCUGAGACGCGAAAGCGUGGGGAGCAAACAGG
rnacentral:rRNA from 1 species